UACAGAGGUCCCAAGCGUUGUUCGGAUUCAUUGGGCGUAAAGGGUGCGUAGGCGGCGCUGUAAGUCGGGUGUGAAAUCUCGGAGCUUAACUCCGAAACUGCAUUCGAUACUGCCGUGCUUGAGGACUGGAGAGGAGACUGGAAUUUACGGUGUAGCGGUGAAAUGCGUAGAUAUCGUAAGGAAGACCAGUGGCGAAAACGGGUCUCUGGACAGUUCCUGACGCUGAGGCACGAAGGUCAGGGGAGCAAACGGG
rnacentral:rRNA from 1 species